AAUCAACGCUGGCGGCGUGCCUAACACAUGCAAGUCGAACGUGAAAGCCCCGCAAGGGGUAAGUAGAGUGGCGCACGGGUGAGUAACACGUGGAUAACCUGCCUUUGAGUGGGGAAUAACCUUCCGAAAGGAGGGCUAAUACCGCAUAAAACCUCAGGACAAAAGUUUGGGGGUUCAAAGGAGCAAUACGCUCGAAGAGGGGUCCGCGGCUGAUUAGCUAGUUGGUGGGGUAACGGCUCACCAAGGCAACGAUCAGUAGCCGUCCUGAGAGGGAGCACGGCCACACUGGAACUGAGACACGGUCCAGACUCCUACGGGAGGCAGCAGUGGGGAAUUUUUGGCAAUGGGCGAAAGCCUGACCAAGCAACGCCGCGUGGGUGAUGAAGUAUCUUGGUACGUAAAACCCUUUCGGCAGGGACGAACCUAAUGACGGUACCUGCGGAAGAAGCCCCGGCUAACUCCGUGCCAGCAGCCGCCGUAAGAC
rnacentral:rRNA from 1 species